GCCGGAAUUGCUAGUAAUGGCAGGUCAGCAUACUGCCGUGAAUACGUUCCCGGGCCUUGUACACACCGCCCGUCACACCAUGAGAGUUGGAAAUACCCGAAGCCUGUGAGCUAACUUAAAGAGGCAGCGAGUCGAAGGUAGAGCCAAUGAUUGGGGUGAAGUCGUAACAAGGUACC
rnacentral:rRNA from 1 species